CGCGGCCUAUCAGCUUGUUGGUGGGGUGAUGGCCUACCAAGGCGACGACGGGUAGCCGGCCUGAGAGGGCGACCGGCCACACUGGGACUGAGACACGGCCCAGACUCCUACGGGAGGCAGCAGUGGGGAAUUUUCCGCAAUGGGCGAAAGCCUGACGGAGCAAUACCGCGUGAGGGAAGAAGGCUCUUGGGUUGUAAACCUCUUUUCUUAGGGAAGAAAAAAAUGACGGUACCUAAGGAAUAAGCAUCGGCUAACUCCGUGCCAGCAGCCGCGGUAAUACGGAGGAUGCAAGCGUUAUCCGGAAUGAUUGGGCGUAAAGCGUCCGCAGGUGGUUUAUCAAGUUUGCGGUUAAAGGUUCUGGCUCAACCAGAGACAGGCCGUGAAAAC
rnacentral:rRNA from 1 species